GUGAGGAAUAUUGCACAAUGGGGGAAACCCUGAUGCAGCAACGCCGCGUGAGGGACGAAGGCCUUCGGGUUGUAAACCUCUUUUCUGGGGAACGAGACAAGGACGGUACCUCAGGAAUAAGUCUCGGCUAACUACGUGCCAGCAGCCGCGGUAAGACGUAGGAGGCGAGCGUUAUCCGGAUUUACUGGGCGUAAAGCGUGCGCAGGCGGCUUCGUCAGUCGGAUGUGAAAGCUCCUGGCUUAACUGGGAGAGGUCAUUCGAUACUACGGGGCUUGAGGUUGGGAGAGGGGUGUGGAAUUCCCGGUGUAGUGGUGGAAUGCGUAGAUAUCGGGAGGAACACCUGUGGCGAAAGCGACACCCUGGCCCACACCUGACGCUGAGGCACGAAAGCGUGGGGAGCAAACAGGAUUAGAAACCCCUGUAGUCC
rnacentral:rRNA from 1 species